rnacentral:rRNA from 1 species
AACGAACGCUGGCGGCAGGCCUAACACAUGCAAGUCGAGCGAGGACUUCGGUUCUAGCGGCGGACGGGUGAGUAACGCGUGGGAAUGUGCCCUUCUCUACGGAAUAGCCCUGGGAAACUGGGAGUAAUACCGUAUACGCCCUUUUGGGGAAAGAUUUAUCGGAGAAGGAUCAGCCCGCGUUGGAUUAGGUAGUUGGUGGGGUAAUGGCCUACCAAGCCGACGAUCCAUAGCUGGUUUGAGAGGAUGAUCAGCCACACUGGGACUGAGACACGGCCCAGACUCCUACGGGAGGCAGCAGUGGGGAAUCUUAGACAAUGGGGGCAACCCUGAUCGAGCCAUGCCGCGUGAGUGAUGAAGGCAUUAGGGUUGUAAAGCUCUUUCAGCUGGGAAGAUAAUGACGGUACCAGCAGAAGAAGCCCCGGCUAACUCCGUG